UACGUAGGAGACGAGCGUUGUCCGGAGUUACUGGGCGUAAAGGGUGCGCAGGUGGUUGUGCGCGUGGGGGGUGAAAUCGCCCGGCUUAACUGGGCGGGGGCCUUCCAGACGGCAUGACUUGAGCAGCGGAGGGGGACGUGGAAUUCCGGGUGGAGCGGUGAAAUGCGCAGAUAUCAGGAAGAACACCCGUGGCUAAGGCGGCUCUCUAGUACGGUACUGACGCUGAGACGCGAAAGCGUGGGGAGCGAACAGG
rnacentral:rRNA from 1 species